rnacentral:rRNA from 1 species
AAUGGAGAGUUUGAUCCUGGCUCAGGAUGAACGCUGGCGGCGUGCCUAAUACAUGCAAGUCGAACGCUUCACAUAUGUGAAGAGUGGCGAACGGGUGAGUAAUACAUAAGUAACCUGGCCUUUACAGGGGGAUAACURUUGGAAACGAUAGCUAAGACCGCAUAGGUGUCAUAACCGCAUGGAGAUGAUAUGAAAUAUGCUACGGCAUAGGUAGAGGAUGGACUUAUGGCGCAUUAGCUAGUUGGAGGGGUAACGGCCCACCAAGGCGACGAUGCGUAGCCGACCUGAGAGGGUGACCGGCCACACUGGGACUGAGACACGGCCCAGACUCCUACGGGAGGCAGCAGUAGGGAAUUUUCGGCA